rnacentral:rRNA from 1 species
GAUGAACGCUGGCGGCGUGCCUAAUACAUGCAAGUCGAGCGAACGGACGAGAAGCUUGCUUCUCUGAUGUUAGCGGCGGACGGGUGAGUAACACGUGCAUAACCUACCUAUAAGACUGGGAUAACUUCGGGAAACCGGAUCUAAUACCGGAUAAUAUUUUGAACCGCAUGGUUCAAAAGUGAAAGACGGUCUUGCUGUCACUUAUAGAUGGAUCCGCGCUGCAUUAGCUAGUUGGUAAGGUAACGGCUUACCAAGGCAACGAUGCGUAGCCGACCUGAGAGGGUGAUCGGCCACACUGGAACUGAGACACGGUCCAGACUCCUACGGGAGGCAGCAGUAGGGAAUCUUCCGCAAUGGGCGAAAGCCUGACGGAGCAACGCCGCGUGAGUGAUGAAGGUCUUCGGAUCGUAAAACUCUGUUAUUAGGGAAGAACAUAUGUGUAAGUAACUGUGCACAUCUUGACGGUACCUAAUCAGAAAGCCACGGCUAACUACGUG